rnacentral:lncRNA from 1 species
UCGAUCUUAGACUUCGACGGUAGAUUGUAGGUAUACUUCUGCCCCUACCAAUCCUUAUCCCAGUGAACACAACUGACCUCAGCCAUCUUCUUCCUUCAAUGCCUAUAUUCAUCAGACCACUCUGAAGUCUCCUCAAUUGAAGCUAGACUGAUCCUACCUGUGUCUUCAUUUCAAAUUCAAAAGUGCUUGCAACACCACUGUUAGCUUCGAAAUAGAUAAGGCAAGCAUAAAUAUCCAGUCCUGAAGAUCUCA